GACGAACGCUGGCGGCGUGCCUAAUACAUGCAAGUAGAACGCUGAAGGAGGAGCUUGCUUCUCUGGAUGAGUUGCGAACGGGUGAGUAACGCGUAGGUAACCUGCCUGGUAGCGGGGGAUAACUAUUGGAAACGAUAGCUAAUACCGCAUAACAGUAGAUGUUGCAUGACAUUUACUUAAAAGGUGCAAUUGCAUCACUACCAGAUGGACCUGCGUUGUAUUAGCUAGUUGGUGGGGUAACGGCUCACCAAGGCGACGAUACAUAGCCGACCUGAGAGGGUGAUCGGCCACACUGGGACUGAGACACGGCCCAGACUCCUACGGGAGGCAGCAGUAGGGAAUCUUCGGCAAUGGACGGAAGUCUGACCGAGCAACGCCGCGUGAGUGAAGAAGGUUUUCGGAUCGUAAAGCUCUGUUGUAAGAGAAGAACGGGUGUGAGAGUGGAAAGUUCACACUGUGACG
rnacentral:rRNA from 1 species